rnacentral:rRNA from 1 species
AACGAACGCUGGCGGCAUGCCUAACACAUGCAAGUCGAACGAUGCCUUCGGGCAUAGUGGCGCACGGGUGCGUAACGCGUGGGAAUCUGCCCUUGGCUUCGGAAUAACAGUUAGAAAUGACUGCUAAUACCGGAUGAUGUCCCCCUGAGAGAUCUUGGGGACCAAAGAUUUAUCGGCCAGGGAUGAGCCCGCGUAGGAUUAGGUAGUUGGUGGGGUAAAGGCCUACCAAGCCGACGAUCCUUAGCUGGUCUGAGAGGAUGAUCAGCCACACUGGGACUGAGACGCGGCCCAGACUCCUACGGGAGGCAGCAGUGGGGAAUAUUGGACAAUGGGGGGAACCCUGAUCCAGCAAUGCCGCGUGAGUGAUGAAGGCCUUAGGGUUGUAAAGCUCUUUUACCAGGGAUGAUAAUGACAGUACCUGGAGAAUAAGCUCCGGCUAACUCCGUG